AGCGAACGCUGGCGGCAGGCUUAACACAUGCAAGUCGAGCGGGCGUAGCAAUACGUCAGCGGCAGACGGGUGAGUAACACGUGGGAACGUACCUUUUGGUUCGGAACAACACAGGGAAACUUGUGCUAAUACCGAAUAAGCCCUUACGGGGAAAGAUUUAUCGCCGAAAGAUCGGCCCGCGUCUGAUUAGCUUGUUGGUGAGGUAACGGCUCACCAAGGCGACGAUCAGUAGCUGGUCNGAGAGGAUGAUCAGCCACACUGGGACUGAGACACGGCCCAGACUCCUACGGGAGGCAGCAGUGGGGAAUAUUGGACAAUGGGGGCAACCCUGAUCCAGCCAUGCCGCGUGAGUGAUGAAGGCCCUAGGGUUGUAAGCUCUUUUGUGCGGGAAGAUAAUGACGGUACCGCAAGAAUAAGCCCCGGCUAACUUCGUGCCAGCAGCCGCUGUAAU
rnacentral:rRNA from 1 species